rnacentral:rRNA from 1 species
GACGAGCGCUGGCGGCGUGCCUAAUACAUGCAAGUCGAGCGAUGAAGAUUGGUGCUUGCGCCAAUGUGAAGAGCAGCGGACGGGUGAGUAACGCGUGGGGAAUCUGCCUUUGAGCGGGGGACAACAUUUGGAAACGAAUGCUAAUACCGCAUAAUAAAUUGAAACAUAAGGUUCAAGUGUGAAAGAAGCAAUUGCAUCACUUAAAAGUGAUCCCGGGUUGUAUUAGCUAGUUGGUGAGGUAAAGGCCCAACAAGGCGAGGAUACAUAACCGCCCCGAGAGGGUGAUCUGCCACGCUGGGACGGGAGCACGGCCCACACCACUGCGGCAGGCAGCCGGACGGGAUCCUCAGCAAUGGACGAAAGGCUGACCGAGCAACGCCGCGGGAGUGAAUGAGGUUGUCGGGUCGUGAAACUCUGUUAGUCGAGAAGAACGUAAGUGAGAGUUGACCGCUCAUCUAGUGACGGUACCUACCCAGAAAGCGACGGCUAACUACGUG